CCCUCACAGACACAGCUGCCACCAAAGAGCCUCUCUUGACUGCAGUCAAACUGGGCUACAGACUGAGCUUUAGAAUAAUCAAUGAAAACCUCACCAACCCUGAUUCCCAGUCUCCAGAAUACAGAGCAGCAGUAGAAAGCAUCACCAACAAGAUGAAUCACCUGUACCGUCAGAGCGACCUGCGGGACCAGUUCCUGACCUGCAGGAUCACCAGGCUGAGGCCUGGAUCCAUAGUGGUUGACUGCCAGUGCUUCUUCCAGCCCAACCCCAGCAUCAACAGGGCUGUGGUUGAAAGGACUUUCCAGGACAGGACCUCCAACACCACCGGGCUGUGGCUGGGGAGCAGCUACCGACUUCAGGAAUUCUCAGUGGACAGUACGUGGAUCAAAUCCCUUCCCAGUGUCCAUAUGGAUAACUCACUUCGCCAUGGCACACUCAGAAUCUCCCAAAUUUGCUCUGU